AAAGCAAUAGUUUAAUGGAAAAACACAUCCUUCUAAGAUGAAUUACAGGUUCGAUUCCUGUUUGCUUUG
rnacentral:tRNA from 1 species